ensembl:lncRNA
CCCAAAUACAUCGUUGCUGACCUACAAGAAGCAUCAAACAGUCUCAUUCUCUAAUUCUAUACGUCUUAGUUUAGAGACCAGCCUUCAGAACACUGUAGAACAAGUUGUAUUAACCAGUUUGGCUUUUUUGCUCACUUUUUACCUUCCUUGGAAGUACUAAGGAACUAUUUUCCAGACUGAGAAAUAUGACAGAGCUCAGAUUCCUUCCUUACAGUAGACAAAAGAUGGCAUCUAACAUAACCAAGGGGUAUCAGCAUCCUCAGUUAACAGAAAAGACUAGUUUAAGGAGGACUUCUGAAAGGAGGUUUGCUAUUAAAAGGAUCAUCCUCACACCAGUAUGACUGGUGUGAGGCAUGCAGAAAGUGUCUGAGGAGACAUGUGAGAAGACACAUGACAGCACAACUUCUCCAUUCUAAAUUGCAUUUGUUCUUUCAUCUCUUCCUGCACCUUCUAGAAAAGAUUUACGAACAAUUACAAUGUAAAAUGAUAGUGAAGCUUACCACACCAAAAGGCUUACUUUAUCUAUAAAUCAGGACACCACAGUACCAUGACAAGUGCCCAGGUCUCCAGCAAUGCUUGAAGGUGACAGCAAGUGGUCCUUGCAUCCAUCACUCAGUAACAAUCAAAAUAUCAGUGUGCUGUUUUCUCAGCGAAGACCAGGAAAAGGGGAGGACACAGUGCAGCACUAACUGCACCUCUCACACUCACAGUCAAACUGAAACCCACUUGUCUUACAUGUUACUGGUGCUUAUGCCACUUGGUGAGUAAAACACAGUGAUUGCCAAUAAUAUUUCAGCCUACUUGAUGUCAUCUCAAUGAAAAAGAGAACAACAAAAAAAAAACUGUGGAUGAAGGAAGAGUUUUCAACAAAAAUAAACAGAUGAGUAAUUUUUGUGUAGACAAUAUCGCACUAUGCUUAAUAUGUAAGGAUGGAAACCUUUGAUUUCCUAAGAUUACAAUUUGAAAAUUAAAUACAAAAACAUGCUGCCAGAUUCAAGGUAUAUCAAGGAAAGUUUGAUAAAGACAAAACAAUGGAACUGAGAAGUCUGUCAUGUCAAAAAAGUUGGGUUUUUGUUUUUGUUUUUAAGUUACUACUCAAAUGGGUUUAAUUAUAAAAGCUACUUAUGUGGUAAAAAUUUUGAUUGCAGGAAAAAUCAAAACUGGUGGUUUUACUGGUGGUGAGUUUAUUAAGCAAUAUACAGAAAGCAUGACAGGCAUAAUUUGUCCUGAUUUAAAAAGAAAAGUUUUUCUAAAAACCACUGGUCA